AGAACGAACGCUGGCGGCAUGCCUAAUACAUGCAAGUCGAACGAACUCUUCGGAGUUAGUGGCGCACGGGUGCGUAACGCGUGGGAAUCUGCCCCUUGGUUCGGAAUAACAGUUGGAAACGAUUGCUAAUACCGGAUGAUGACGAAAGUCCAAAGAUUUAUCGCCAAGGGAUGAGCCCGCGUAGGAUUAGCUAGUUGGUGAGGUAAAGGCUCACCAAGGCAACGAUCCUUAGCUGGUCUGAGAGGAUGAUCAGCCACACUGGGACUGAGACACGGCCCAGACCCCUACGGGAGGCAGCAGUAGGGAAUAUUGGACAAUGGGCGAAAGCCUGAUCCAGCAAUGCCGCGUGAGUGAUGAAGGCCUUAGGGUUGUAAAGCUCUUUUACCGAGAUGAUAAUGACAGUAUCGGAGAAUAAGCCCGCUAACUCCGUGCCAGCCAGCCGC
rnacentral:rRNA from 1 species